ACUGUAAUAAAUACAAAUUUUACAAUACCAAAUACAAAUACAUAUCUACAUUGUAGCAAAUACAAAUCUUAUCAGUACCAAAUACAAAUACAAAUAUAAAUACAAAUCUUAUCAUUACAAAAUACAAAUACAUAUCUAUACAGUAAAAAUUACAUAUUAUAGAAAUCUCGUCGGAAUAUACUGAUCCACCGCUAUCACAUCAUCGAAAAAUCCAUAAAAAUUGGCUA
rnacentral:lncRNA from 1 species